rnacentral:lncRNA from 1 species
CAAAGGUUUCAGGUCCAAAGUUGCAUUCAAUUUCUCCUGAUUAUAAUUUUGAUAGACACCCUUGACCCUAAACAAGAAAAUCUGGAAUAGGUGCAAAAUGAAGACUUACUGACAAGAAACCUGUAUUUGAAAGGCAAUCUACUGUAACAUUUUUUGCAAGUGUUUGAACGGUGUCUUCCUCGAAUGCCAACAUUUUAUAUGUGACCUAUUCCUUGAAUGCCAACAAAAAUAUUUCAGUAGAUGUUUAUAUAAUAACAAUAGGUGUUUUUAGCACUAUCUAAAUGUUUUUAAAAGUAUAAAAUAAUUAGUGAACUUGAUAAAUUUGCUACAUUUUAUUACUUUUUGAUAAGAAAAAUGUUAGAUUUUAAGGUUAAAAUUAUUACAUGUAUUAUAAAUUUUAAAUAAAUAAAUAAAAUUAAAACGUUUUGACAAUUCCUUGCUUUCUAUUAAAAAAAGAUAAUUUGGGAAUGAAAGUGUUUAUUUACAUAAGACUUAUUAGAUAUAUCAAAGAAAUUUUAGUUGAAUACAGUUAUCUCUCUAAAAAAAAAAGAAGAAUUUUAAAGAUUUAUUCAAUUCCAUUUCAUUUUGAAUAUUUUAUAAGUUAAUAUAAACUAUACGAAGAUUUCAA